rnacentral:rRNA from 1 species
GAUGAACGCUGGCGGCGUGCCUAAUACAUGCAAGUAGAACGCUGAAGGAAGGAGCUUGCUCUUUCCGGAUGAGUUGCGAACGGGUGAGUAACGCGUAGGUAACCUGCCUGGUAGCGGGGGAUAACUAUUGGAAACGAUAGCUAAUACCGCAUAACAGUAGAUGUUGCAUGAUAUCUACUUAAAAGGUGCAAUUGCACCACUACCAGAUGGACCUGCGUUGUAUUAGCUAGUUGGUGAGGUAACGGCUCACCAAGGCGACGAUACAUAGCCGACCUGAGAGGGUGAUCGGCCACACUGGGACUGAGACACGGCCCAGACUCCUACGGGAGGCAGCAGUAGGGAAUCUUCGGCAAUGGACGGAAGUCUGACCGAGCAAAGCCGCGUGAGUGAAGAAGGUUUUCGGAUCGUAAAGCUCUGUUGUAAGAGAAGAACGAGUGUGAGAGUGGAAAGUUCACACUGUGACGGUAUCUUACCAGAAAGGGACGGCUAACUACGUG